rnacentral:rRNA from 1 species
GACGAACGCUGGCGGCGUGCUUAACACAUGCAAGUCGAACGAUGAAGCUAGAGCUUGCUCUGGUGGAUUAGUGGCGAACGGGUGAGUAACACGUGAGUAACCUGCCCCGAACUCUGGGAUAACUGCUGGAAACGGUAGCUAAUACUGGAUACGACCAACGAAGGCACCUUCUGUUGGUGGAAAGAAUUUCGGUUCGGGAUGGACUCGCGGCCUAUCAGCUUGUUGGUAAGGUAACGGCUCACCAAGGCGACGACGGGUAGCCGGCCUGAGAGGGUGAUCGGCCACACUGGGACUGAGACACGGCCCAGACUCCUACGGGAGGCAGCAGUGGGGAAUAUUGCACAAUGGGCGCAAGCCUGAUGCAGCAACGCCGCGUGAGGGAUGACGGCCUUCGGGUUGUAAACCUCUUUUAGUAGGGAAGAAGCGAAAGUGACGGUACCUGCAGAAAAAGCACCGGCUUACUACGUGCCAGCCGCCGCCGUAA